rnacentral:rRNA from 1 species
CACGUAGGGCGCAAGCGUUGUCCGGAAUUAUUGGGCGUAAAGGGCUCGUAGGCGGUUUGUCGCGUCGGGCGUGAAAACCAUGGGCUUAACUCAUGGCUUGCUUCCGAUACGGGCAGACUAGAGGUAUGCAGGGGAGAACGGAAUUCCUGGUGUAGCGGUGAAAUGCGCAGAUAUCAGGAGGAACACCGGUGGCGAAGGCGGUUCUCUGGGCAUUACCUGACGCUGAGGAGCGAAAGUGUGGGGAGCGAACAGG